rnacentral:rRNA from 1 species
GAUGAACGCUGGCGGCGUGCCUAAUACAUGCAAGUCGAGCGAACGGACGAGAAGCUUGCUUCUCUGAUGUUAGCGGCGGACGGGUGAGUAACACGUGGAUAACCUACCUAUAAGACUGGGAUAACUUCGGGAAACCGGAGCUAAUACCGGAUAAUAUUUUGAACCGCAUGGUUCAAAAGUGAAAGACGGUCUUGCUGUCACUUAUAGAUGGAUCCGCGCUGCAUUAGCUAGUUGGUAAGGUAACGGCUUACCAAGGCAACGAUGCAUAGCCGACCUGAGAGGGUGAUCGGCCACACUGGAACUGAGACACGGUCCAGACUCCUACGGGAGGCAGCAGUAGGGAAUCUUCCGCAAUGGGCGAAAGCCUGACGGAGCAACGCCGCGUGAGUGAUGAAGGUCUUCGGAUCGUAAAACUCUGUUAUUAGGGAAGAACAUAUGUGUAAGUAACUGUGCACAUCUUGACGGUACCUAAUCAGAAAGCCACGGCUAACUACGUGCCAGCAGCCGCGGUAAUACGUAGGUGGCAAGCGUUAUCCGGAAUUAUUGGGCGUAAAGCGCGCGUAGGCGGUUUUUUAAGUCUGAUGUGAAAGCCCACGGCUCAACCGUGGAGGGUCAUUGGAAACUGGAAAACUUGAGUGCAGAAGAGGAAAGUGGAAUUCCAUGUGUAGCGGUGAAAUGCGCAGAGAUAUGGAGGAACACCAGUGGCGAAGGCGACUUUCUGGUCUGUAACUGACGCUGAUGUGCGAAAGCGUGGGGAUCAAACAGGAUUAGAUACCCUGGUAGCCCACGCCGUAAACGAUGAGUGCUAAGUGUUAGGGGGUUUCCGCCCCUUAGUGCUGCAGCUAACGCAUUAAGCACUCCGCCUGGGGAGUACGACCGCAAGGUUGAAACUCAAAGGAAUUGACGGGGACCCGCACAAGCGGUGGAGCAUGUGGUUUAAUUCGAAGCAACGCGAAGAACCUUACCAAAUCUUGACAUCCUUUGACAACUCUAGAGAUAGAGCCUUCCCCUUCGGGGGGGCAAAGUGACAGGUGGUGCAUGGUUGUCGUCAGCUCGUGUCGUGAGAUGUUGGGUUAAGUCCCGCAACGAGCGCAACCCUUAAGCUUAGUUGCCAUCAUUAAGUUGGGCACUCUAAGUUGACUGCCGGUGACAAACCGGAGGAAGGUGGGGAUGACGUCAAAUCAUCAUGCCCCUUAUGAUUUGGGCUACACACGUGCUACAAUGGACAAUACAAAGGGCAGCGAAACCGCGAGGUCAAGCAAAUCCCAUAAAGUUGUUCUCAGUUCGGAUUGUAGUCUGCAACUCGACUACAUGAAGCUGGAAUCGCUAGUAAUCGUAGAUCAGCAUGCUACGGUGAAUACGUUCCCGGGUCU